rnacentral:lncRNA from 1 species
AUGCAUGUAAAAUACUUAGCACAGUUCCUGGCACAGGAUAAGCACUCAAGAAAGCUACAUCACCAGCAAUACCACCACCAUCAGCACCAUCACAAUUAUCACCAUCAUCCAUCCACCAUCCAUCCAUCCACCAUCCACCAUCACCAUCCACCAUCACCAUCCAUCCACCAUCCAUCAUCCAUCCACCAUCCAUCCAUCCACCAUCCAUCUGUCCAUCCAUCCACCAUCCAUCUUCCACCAUCCACCAUCAUCCACCAUCCAUCGUCCACCAUCUUCCAUCCACCAUCCAUCCACCAUCAUCCAUCCAUCUUCCAUUCCACGAUCAUCCACCACCACCAUCAUCAUCAUCAUCAUCACCAUCACCAUCCUCACCAUCACCAUCAUCGCCAUCAUUGCCACCAUCAUCCAUCACCAUCACCAUCAUCACCAUCACCAUCAUUGCCAUCACCAUCAUCAUCUGCCAUCACCAUCAUCACCACCGCCAGCAUUAUCAUCCCCGCCAUCCGCCAUCAUCAUCACCAUCCUGUCAUCAUUGCCAUCAUUAUCAUCACCACCGUCAUCAUCAUCAUCACCACCACCGUCAUCACCAUCAUCACCAUCAUCUUCAUCACCACCACCACCAUCACCAUCAUCAUCCCUACCACCACUAUCACCAUCAUAACCAUCACCAUCAUCACUGCCACCACCAUUAUCACCACCACCACCAUCAUCACCAUCACCAUCAUCACCAUCACCAUCAUCAUCACCAUCAUCAUCAUCACAACCACCAUCAUCACCACUAUCAUCAUCGCUAUCAUCAUCACCACCACCAUCAUCACCAUCACCAUCAUCACCAUCAUCACAUCACCAUCACCAUCAUCAUCAUCACCAUCAUCACCACCCCCAUCACCAUCAUCAUCAUUAUCACCGUCAUCACCAUCAUCAUCACCACCACCAUCAUCACCACCACCCACCUCUAUCACCGGGCCUGUGCCUGUAGUUCUGCACAUCCCUCGAUCUUUGCGACCAUCGUCAGCGGGUAGUUGCCAUCAUCACCAUUAUCAUCAUCAUUAUCAUCAUUACUAUUUGUUAAAUCAGUGA